GUAAAAGAUUAUCUAGAGACGGAAUAGACCAGCUUAUGAUAGUGUAAGUUUUGAAAGUUGGAAGAAUCAACAAAUAUGCACUGAAUCCAACGAUGAGCCAGUCUUGAGGAGAAAGUUGUUUGAUUCCACCCAGCAGUGAAUCCACCAAGGAAGAUGAGACACUAUCCUGUAAGCCAUGGUGAUAAUGAUUCGUGAUUCAUCCAUUGUCCAUACCAUACCCAGAAGUUAAUUUGGAGGAUACUCCUUUAGGAAGAAAGGACUCCAAAGACCAUCAGUCACAUUUAUUCCUUCCAUAUAAGUUUCACUAUAUUUUGCAAAGCCACUAGCAAUGGACAUGUUUCACUUGAUGGCCACAGCUGUCUUUCUGAAUCUCAUGGAUGAAGAUACCUGAAGUCAUCUUCAUGACCUCCCAUGGAGACCUAAAGAGUUUGAAGAAGAUAACUGUCAUCAACUGCCAUGUCUCCCCAGGAAGUAUUGCCAUAUCCCUCUUAUUUCCUUGUCAUCCAUCGAGAAAUCCUCAAAAUUCUUACUGUACAAAGGGGAAACCCUGACUUCCAGUCCUGAUCUCAUAUUAGCUUCCUUUAUAUUUAAGCUGGGGAAAAAUACAACUCUCAAGGUCUUUGAGGCCAGCCCAACCCUUGCCAGAAGGCUAUUACAGUACAAAUACAAUUAGAAAUAUGAGUUAUUUAAGCACAGGCAUUUGUGACAGUCUACACAGUACUUUGAUAAUCAGUAAAUAUUUUAAAUCUUAAUUUAGAAAUUUUAAUGUGAAAAUAAAUUUUGUAUACAUAAUACAGAUGUAAGUUUUAACCAUGUGGCAUGAUUACUGUUACUGUAGUUAGUAUCUACACAAUACCAAAACAAUUAUAUUAAUAGUGGGAAAAAAGUCAGUUCAGUUAAAAAAAAAUGGAAUGGUUAGCAUUAUAGACAAAAAAAGUGCUUUGACUGCAUGCAGUCACAGCCUUUAUGCAAUUUUUGUCUUUAUCCAGGAUAGAGACAAAAAUAUUGAACAGCGAUAAAGAACUAGUGGUCUACUAGACUUUUCUAUCCAGACUGAUAUUGAUACAUUAAUGAACAUCUUUUGGGUAAAAUUUUCCAACCAACUUUGAAUUUGGUCUACAUUUUCCCACUUGGUCUACAAGAGUAUCAUGACAGACUUUGGUAAGUGUCUUGUUCAAAUAUAGUUGCUCAAUAUCUAUCAUCUCUCUGUCUAGUAACCAAGAAUCAAAAAAAGUAAAUUAGUGAAAUAUAACAUUUCUUUAUGACCAAAUGCAGAAAUCUUUCAAGUAUUCAUAAAUCAUGAAAUCUGUAGUCCUUGGCGCAUGUCUUCCCAUACCUCUAUAAUUCAGUUUCUUCAACUAUAAAAUGAGAGGUUUAGGUUAGAUGAUCUUUAAUCUUCCAGUUCUUUCUGUGACUCUGAGAAGCUUAUCUAAUUAAGUGGGGGGAGGGAAAAGAGUAUAGAUUUAAAGUUAAAAGGAAACUGAGGCCAUCUAUUCCUUUCUUCCCCACUCUUAAUUAUUAAGGAGCAGAAGUGACAAUUGAGUCUAGCUCAGCUGAUUUCAAACUGAACACCUUUUCUACUAAACAAUGCUAUUCCCCAGGUUCCUCAUCUAUAAAAUAGUUUAUCUAUAGGGUUCUUUCCAGGUCUAAAUUUCUAUAUAACAUGAUCCUUUAAUUUUCUAGGACAUCUAAGCUCUAAAUACUAUUAUUCAUUGUAUGAGAACAAAGAGUCUUUUUCCUAUAAUGCUAUGGAUCUAUAGAACAGCUGUAUAAGAAUAAGGAACUUUCUGGGAAGAUGGAGAUGGAGGAAGAAUGAAGAUCUCGGCUCAUCGAAUACAAGAAAGGAGUGAACACAGAAAAGGGAGGAGACAAGCAGAUAAUGAUUACUAUUUGAGGCAAGUCAAAGUAAGCUCCUCCCCAUCCCCAUUUCCAGCUGUGAAAAAAAUGGUAAAUAUUUGAGCCAAUAAGAAGGAAAAAAAAAAAUUCGAAGGUCAUUUUGAGUCAGUCUUUGGACUUGUUAAAAAAAAUCCAGAAAUUGAAGAGAAAUUUGUGAGAAACUGAGGAUAAGAUGAAGGAAAACAAAUACAAACUGAAAGAGAAGCAUUCAAUUUAAAGGAUGAGGCAACCUGAAAAGGAAAAAAUACAUAUCUUUAGCAAACCUGCUUCUGGGGAGGCUGAAGCUGGUAUCUAACUUGAACUCAGGAGUUCUGAACUGCAAUAUGCUAACUAGUCAAGUGUUUCAUUAUCUCAACACUGUGAACCUUUCAGAUCGAGGAGUCAUGAAGUUACCUCAUGAGAAGCAAAGUGGCCCAGUACUAAAACAGCAUCUCAAAACUCCUACGCCAAUCAGCAAUGGGACUGAGGUUGAGGUGAGUUGCAAAUAACUACAAACAUUCUGAAAAGUAAGGCUGAAAAUUUCAGCCAACACAGAUAACAAGAUAAAUUUUGCGAUGUCUUCUACUGAAUGUGUAAUGAUUAUAUUUCUUCUACUGUGAAGUAACUGCUAUCUAUGUUCCCAGAAUAGGUUGAUAUUCCUCUGAGAAGAGAAAGUCAAGAGGCUCAAUGAAUAACUUUGCAUGUUUCAGGUUAUUAGGGAUAAUAAAGUAUUCUCUUGUAUUUAAAAAAAAAAAUGGAAGCAUGGUUUCAGUGAAGGAAAAGGAUCUGAAGUUGCUGAGGGAAAUUUGACUAGAAUAAUGACACAUACAGAGGGGGAAGGAAAAAGGGGAGGGAA
ensembl:lncRNA